GUUGGUAAUAACUUAUAGAAGAGAAUGCAAUAGAUGCUUUACUUUGGUUAUAUGUUAUUGGAUGAUGUUGACUACCUUCUAGAAAUAGUUUCUUGUUUCAUCUAUGCACUAUGUUAUGAUCAUCUUGUAUUAACUUGUAUAAGCAUUGCACCUCGGACAUCUUGCACUCCACUCAUGAGCACACAUGCAUCAUACAGGCUCGCAGGAGAAUGAGGUGGGACCC
rnacentral:lncRNA from 1 species